UACGUAGGGUGCAAGCGUUAAUCGGAAUUACUGGGCGUAAAGCGUGCGCAGGCGGUUGUGCAAGACAGGUGUGAAAUCCCCGGGCUUAACCUGGGAACUGCAUUUGUGACUGUACGGCUGGAGUACGGCAGAGGGGGAUGGAAUUCCGCGUGUAGCAGUGAAAUGCGUAGAUAUGCGGAGGAACACCGAUGGCGAAGGCAGUCCCCUGGGCCUGUACGGACGCUCAUGCACGAAAGCGUGGGGAGCAAACAGG
rnacentral:rRNA from 1 species